GACGAACGCUGGCGGCGUGCUUAACACAUGCAAGUCGAACGGAAAGGCCCUGCUUUUGUGGCUUUCUCGAUUGGCGAACGGGUGAGUAACACGUGAGUAACCUGCCCUUGACUUUCUGAUAACUUUAGGAAACUGGGGCUAAUACCGGAUAGGAUCUUCUGCUGCAUGGUGGGGGUUGGAAAGUUUCGGCGGUUGUGGAUGGACUCGCGGCUUAUCAGCUUGUUUGUGGGGUAGUGGCUUACCAAGGCUUUGACGGGUAGCCGGCCUGAGAGGGUGACCGGCCACAUUGGGACUGAGAUACGGACCAGACUCCUACGGGAGGCAGCAGUGGGGAAUAUUGCACAAUGGGCGGAAGCCUGAUGCAGAAACGCCGCGUGCGGGAUGACGGCCUUCGGGUUGUAAACCGAUUUCGCCGGUGACGAAGAGUGAGUGACGGUAAUGGGUAAAGAAGCAACGGCUAACUACGUG
rnacentral:rRNA from 1 species